AACGAACGCUUGCGGCAGGCCUAACACAUGCAAGUCGAACGCUCCAGCAAUGGAGAGUGGCAGACGGGUGAGUAACGCGUGGGAACCUUCCCUAUGGUUCGGAAUAGCCCAGGGAAACUUGGGGUAAUACCGGAUAAGCCCUUCGGGUGAAAGAUUUAUCGCCAUUGGAUGGUCCCGCGUCGGAUUAGCUCGUUGGUGGGGUAACGGCUCACCAAGGCGACGAUCCGUAGCUGGUCUGAGAGGAUGAUCCGCCACACUGGGACUGAGACACGGCCCAGACUCCUACGGGAGGCAGCAGUGGGGAAUAUUGGACAAUGGGCGCAAGCCUGAUCCAGCCAUGCCGCGUGAGUGACGAAGGCCUUAGGGUUGUAAAGCUCUUUUGGCGGGGAAGAUAAUGACGGUACCCGCAGAAUAAGCUCCGGCUAACUUCGUGCCAGCAGCCGCGGUAACAC
rnacentral:rRNA from 1 species